UGGGGAAUCUUCCGCAAUGGGCGAAAGCCUGACGGAGCAACGCCGCGUGAUCGAAUGAAGGCCUUCGGGUUGUAAAGAUCUGUUGACAGGGACGAAUAAGCAAUGCGAAUAGUUUUGUGUAUGACGGUACCUGUUUAGAAAGCUCCGGCUAACUACGUGCC
rnacentral:rRNA from 1 species